AAGUCGUAACAAGGUUUCCGUAGGUGAACCUGCGGAAUGGAUCAUUAGAGAAAUGCUAUAUGAAUGAAGUUAGAGGACGUCUAAAGAUACUGUAAGAGAGGAUCAGGUUCAAGACCAGCGCUUAAUUGCGCGGUUGCGGCUUGGUUCGCCUUUUGCGGAACAUGUCUUUUCUCGUUGUUAACUCUACUUCAACUUCUACAACACUGUGGAGUUUUCUACACAACUUUUCUUCUUUGGGAAGAUACGUCUUGUGCGUGCUUUCCCAGAGGUGACAAACACAAACAACUUUUUAUUAUUUAUAAACCCAGUCAAACCAAUUUCGUUAUGAAUUAAAUUAUUUAAAA
rnacentral:misc_RNA from 1 species